CGGGAGUCGACGGCGCCGUCGCCUUCCCGGCGCCGCCCCCACCCCUCCGCGCGGGGCCGGGGGCAGAAUGAGCGUCUCGUCUCUCCUCACGAAACAAAGAAGGCGCCGCCGCUGCCGCCGAGCGAGGGCACUAUCUUCCCUAAAGAGCCAUAACUGAGAACACAGGGUGAAGACAAGGCACGCAUCACCUGCCCUGAAUCCACGCGGGGAACCCUGCACACACCCGGGAAGGCAGCUCUGUCUGCAGCCAGCAACAGCAGUUUAACGUAAUCAAUAGAUAGAGGAACGGGGGGUGUCCCUCGGACCAAAGAUUCCAAGCCAUCACCCCUUCUGCUGGGCCCCUGAUUUCUCAUCCAACCAGAUGCAAGCAGCCUUGGGCAAGGGGUUGCUGGCACUGCAGUCAUGGGAAAUCAGGCUCGGGGCUGCUUUUCCUCCCCCCUCCCCGCCCCCCAACAGCUAAGUUCAUCUCUACAGAGGGCAGAUCCAGCUGACUCUUCAGUUAACUUCUUUGGGGGAGAGAUUCUGGACAAGCCCCCAUAAAUGCUCCAUAAAGUACCACCCCUUCCCCGUCCCCUGUCAUGCAUCUAGUCAUGAAACCUUGGUUUUUAAUCCGAAGGAAACAAGUCCAACUUAAUUUUUCCCACAAGUGGUUUCCAGAUCAACCCUAGUUCAAGGAAAAGACCCGAUCAACCCUAGCACAGGGAACAGUGGGGUUAGGACAGGGGGGAAAUUGCUGGUGCCGUCCUGGUGAGAGAGAAGGGGGGAUCUGGCGCCCUCUGGUGGUCACCACGCGCCACAACUCGUCCUGCUGUGCCGCUCCGUGGUGUCUGCCGUAACCUGCCCAGUCAGCUCUGAGGAUGUCUUUCAAUAGGUGAGCGGAUACACACACGAUGGUACAUCCAGACAAUGGCAUAUAUUCAAUGAUAAAAAUAAACGAGCCAUGGUGGAGGGAUGGAUUGGGAGUUUGGGAUAAGCAGAUGCAAACUAUUAUGUAAAGAAUGGAUAAACAACAAGGUCCAACUGUGUAGCACAGGGAACUAUAUUCAAUAUCCUGUGAUAAACCAUAAUGAAAAAGAAUAUGAAAAAGAAUGUAUUAGAAUAUAUAUUUGUAACUGAAUCACUUUGCUGUACACCAGAAACUAACACAGCAUUGUAAAUCAACUAUACUUCAAAAAAAAAAAAAAUAUAUAUAUCUGUUUGUAGGUUCAUCAAUUGUAACAAAUGUUCCUGACUAAAGCAAAAUGUUAAUAAUAGGGGAAACUACUGGGUGGGGGAACGGGGGCUGGCAGGGAGUCUGUGGAGACUUUCAUUACUGUAUGCUUAGUUUUUCUGUAAACCUAAAACUGAAGCCUAUUAAUUUUAUUUAAAACAGCUUUAUUGAGGUACAGUUGACAUACAGUAAACUGUGUAUACUUAAGGUGCACAGUAUGAUUCAUUGUGACGUGUGUAUAUACCCAUGAAGCAUCUGUGACCCACACUCCCCUCUCCCUCCAGACAACCACCGACGUGCUCUCUGUCACUAAAACCGGCUGCGUUUUCUAGCCUUUUAAAUAGCUGGGAAUCAUCCGCUAUGUACCGUUUUCUUCCGGCUUCUUUCACUCCACCAUGUUACUCAGGUGGCAGCUUGGAUCAGGAGUUGGUUUCUUUUCACUGCCACGUGGUAUGCCACUGCGGGGACAUCCUCCCCCGUGUUCACGCAUUCCCUGCGAGGGCCACUCGGGUGGUGUCUGCCUGCCCUGGUCUGCUUGGACUCUCAGCUCCCUGGGCGCUCAGGGAGAGAGUGGUGCAUAGGCUCAGUAGCUGUGACGCACGGGCUCCGAAGCACGUGGUCCCCAGCACCACAGCCUGGAACUUUCUCAAGCAGCACACUGGUGCGGUCACGUGGGUCUCAGGAGCCACUGUCCCUCCAAGACAUGUCCAGUGUCUUGAAAACCUUCUUUCAUACAUCUUGCCCAAGUUGGGAGUUGGGUCAGAUGGUAGAGGAAAUCUGGUCCCUGUCACUCCCCUGGCUGGAGCAGAAGCUUCAUCCCUCAGCUCUGGACCCUUCUCCUCCCCUUCCACCUUCCAUCCUGUCCACUGUACCUCUGUGUCCCCAGCCCCCUCCCUUGUUACCAAAGCAUCCUCUAGUCUACUGCCAGCUGUUUAAUAUUUAUUUAACUUGAAUUAUAGAAUUACAUAUUUAAUGUAAAAUACUUUGGAGAUAUUGGUAAGCAACAAGGAUAUUGGUAAGCAACAAGGAAAAAAAUCCUAAUUCAUUCUCCCACCACAGGCAAAGGACUGCUGUUAGCUGACAUUUUGGCUCCCAUCCCCCCAGAUGUGCUGUCCUUUCUGUGACGGUGUCUGACUGCCUUGAUACUCUGCAGGGCAAGUGUUAGAUCAUCCUGGUGUCCCCAAGAUCUAACAUACAGUCUGGCCUGACCCGGCACAGGUGGAUGGUGACUGACUCAAUCCCCUGCUCUCCUUUUCACACGCUUUAUUUUGUUUUUUAAAUAAAUUUAUUUUUUGGCUGCGCUGGGUCUUCAUUGCUGUGCGCGAGCUUUCUCUAGUUGUGGUGAGCGGGGGCUACUCUUCGUUGCGGUGUGUGGGCUUCUCAUUGUGGUGGCUUCUCUUGUUGCAGAGUAUGGGCUCUAGGUACGUGUGCUUCAGUAGUUGCGGUGCAUAGGCUCAGUAGCUGUGACACAUGGGCUUAGCUGCUCCGAAGCAUGUGGGAUCUUCCCAGACCAGGCCGUGUCCCCUGUAUUGGCAGGCGGAUUCUUUUUUUUUUUUUUUUGGCCCUGCUGCGUGGCACGUGGGGCUCUUAGUUCCCUGACCAGGGAUCAAACCCGUGCCCCCCGCAGUGGAGGCGUGGAGUCUCAACCAAUGGACCGCCAGGGAAGUCCCAGCAGGCGGAUUCUUAACCACUGCGCCACCAGGGAAGUCCCUCACACACUUUAAAUACAAGGGAAAGGGACUUCCCUGGCGGUCCAGUGGUUAAGACCCUAGGCUUCCACUGUAGGGAGUGCAGGUUCAAUCCAUGGUCGGGGAACUAAGAUCGCAUAAGCCGCAUGGGGCCAAAAUACAUAAUACAUACAUACAUGCAAGGGAGAAUCAUGUCAUUGCCUCCCUUCUGUGACUUGUAGAAUUCAAUCAGUAGAGUAUCUUGGAGAAUUUAGUGAGAGAGAAACCCAAGGCAUCCUUAGCUGAACGGCAGAGAGGAGUGUUGGAUUUUUCACUUAGGAUGAGCCUGGGUCAUAGGGCAGGGGGAUUAAAAGGUCAGUAUGUGUUUAAAUGACACCAGUGUUUGCAGCAAGAUGGGUGGAACUAGAGAUUAUCAUACUAAGUGAAGUGAGUCAGAAAGAGAAAGACAAAUACCAUAUAUCAUUUAUAUGUGGAAUCUAAAAUAUGACACAAAUGAACCUAUCUACGAAACAGAAACAGACUCAUAGACAUAGAGAACAGACUUGUGGUUGCCAAGGGGGAGGGGGAGGGGGAGGGAUGGAUUGGGAGUUUGGGAUUAGCAGAUGCAAACUAUUAUAGAAUGGAUAAACAACAAGGUCCUACUGUAUAGCACGGGAAACUAUAUUCAAUACCUUGUGAUAAACCAUAAUGGACAUAUAUAUAAACUGAAUCAUUUUGCUGUACAGCAUAAAUUAACACAACAUUGUAAAUCUACACUUCAAUAAAAAAUUAAAAAUUAAAAAAAAUUACACCAAUUGGGUCCUUUGUGGAGACGUGGAUGGAUCUAGAGACUGUCAUACAGAGUGAAGUUAAGUCAGAAAGAGAAAAACAAAUAUCGUACACUAACGCACAUAUGUGGAACCUAGAGAAAUGGUACAGAUGAACGGGUUUGCAGGGCAGAAAUAGAGACAUAGAUGUAGAGAACAAACAUAUGGCCACCAGGGGGGGAAGCGGCGGGGGGUGGGGAGGGAUGAAUUGGGAGAUUGGGUUGACAUGUAUACACUAAUAUGUAUAAAAUGGAUAACUAAUGAGAACCUGCUGUAUAAAAAAAUAAAUUAAAUAAAAUUCAAAAAAAAAAAAGAUUACACCAGUGUUUAAUGCAGUGUGGAAAGAUUUCCCUAAAUUGCUGCAUGAUGCUUCAGGACCUGAGGGGUAGAAAAACCCAGUACAGUUACCGCUUGGUAUCCAGGGGGGUUGGUUCCAGGACAAACCCCCUGCCC